UAGAGUGACUUCGGUUGCUUGAGAGCGGCGAACGGGUNAGUAACGCGUACACAAUCUACCUUUAAGGAGGGGAAUAGCCCGUGGGAAACGUGGGAAUUUAAUCGCCCCAUGGCAUCACGAGACGGCAUUCGUUUUGUGAUUAAAGCUGAGGUGCUUAGAGAUGAGUGUGCGUCUGAUUAGCUAGUUGGUGCGGUAACGGCGCACAAGGCGACGAUCAGUAGGGGGCGUGAGAGCGUGGACCCCCACACGGGUACUGAGACACGGACCCGACUCCUACGGGAGGCAGCAGUAAGGAAUAUUGGUCAAUGGAGGAAACUCUGAACCAGCCAUCCCGCGUGCAGGAAGAAUGCCCUAUGGGUUGUAAACUGCUUUUAUCUGGGAAGAAAAGUCGGGAUUUAUCCUGAUCUGACGGUACCAGAGGAAUAAGCACCGGCUAACUCCGUG
rnacentral:rRNA from 1 species